GGUGCUCAGCUCGCUGUGUGGAGAAAUGGUUAGAUUUUUGCUGGAUGACUAAACUGGCAGCUGUUCAGCUGUCCUCCCCACAAAGCUUUUUUAUUUUAUUUUCUUCCUACGCCAUUAUGCGCCAAAUGGAUUGUUCCACUGGAAGGAGUGCCUCCGGGGACACUGGAUAGUAUUCUCCAAAGCGGAUCACGGAGACUGGAUCCACUGUUUACUGACUGAAGGAAAUUCCUCUCGUCACAGGGAAGUUUUGGUAGAAAGAGAAGGCUUGUUACAAAGCAGAGAAACCCGUUUCCGAGGAAAUUGCAAGGGACUUGCAGCCUCGGUGAGUCAGUUUCAACAUAUAACUGGACUUCCCACUCUUGGCUGUUUCCUAAACUUCAGAUAGCAGAGAAAUACUUUUUCUGAAUUAAAACUGGUGGCACAACUCAACCUUGUGGGCCCAAAAGUUUACUUUUAGAGUGUGGCACUGUAAGAGUAAGGUUGGAAAGAACAUCUCUCAGAGAAACCCAGUCUCUGUGUUUAUGCAUAAGAAGGGAGGCACCUGGGCAGUUAUCCAUGCAGAGAUACAGCAGACCGACUAACCUGAGGACGAGCAAUUUCCCUGUGGUUUUGCUUAGGGGAAUGAGUGACCGAUUCAUCGCACCAGAUGCAGGGAUAAAGCUGAGUGGAGGCAAUGCAGGGCCAGAGCAAAGCAUCAUGCAGAGACACAGUGGGCAGCCUCCUCUGCUAUUUGAGGUGAUUUUGAUUUCCUUAUCGUGGUACACUGGGAACCACACAGUGGCCCCAAAAUUCAUUUGUUUGAAAAAUUCUACACCACCCUUCAAGAACAGUUCCCAAGGUAAUGCCAAUUAACAUAAUAAAUGGGGAGGGGGGACAUAAUCAUGACAUAAAACAAAAACAGCAGUGAAAAACAGCACAAAAACAAAUUAGACAAAUUGGAGGAGACCAAAGGAACUAACCAGAUAACAGCAGAACCUCCCUGUGGAGAGUGUUGCAGACAUGGGUGCUGCAACUGAAAAGGCCCUCUCCCUAGUUUCUCACUUGCCUUACACCUGAUCUGGCUGGGGCAUUUGGAGGAAAGUACCGCGACAGGGUGGGCUCCUGUUGUUCGGUCCCUGCUCCUGCCCACCUAGCAGUUCGAAAGCACCCAAAAAGUGCAAGUAGAUAAAUAGGUACCACUCCGGUGGGAAGGUAAACGGCGUUUUUCGUGCACUGCUCUGGUUUCGGUGUUCCGUUGCACCAGAAGCGGCUUAGUCAUGACCCAGAAAAACUGUCUGCAGACAAACGCCAGCUCCCUCGGCCUAUAAAGCGAGAUGAGUGCAGCAACCCCAGAGUCAUUCACAACUGGACUUAACUGUCAAGGGUCCUUUACCUUUACCUUUUUACCGGCAAAUGAUCUCAGUGUGUGGGCCAUUCCAACUGAAAAAAUAUGAAUGACAAAGGAAGAAAUUGCAUUCAGAGCUCAAUUAUGACAUCCACCCACACAGCCAUCACUUCAAACAUCAGAUUCUUGGCCAUUAUCCUCCAGCCCAUACAUACAAUUGUAGAGUUGGAAUUGGCAUGAUUGGCACCAUACUCUAACCAACCGAGCUAUCCAGGAGGGGAAUACACACAUGCAUGCAUGGAUAUAUACAUACACACAUUGGUUUGACAUGUGUGUUGUGCUGGGCCAUGAAAUGCUUUGGACUGCUGUUUGAAUGGUUUAGUUUUGCGUGUGAAGACCCCCAAGAUCUCCCAAAGAAAGACACAGUUGACACCAAUAUCAGUUUAAGCUUAUUGGCAUAAUUUUGGCCACAACUUUAUUGAUUACAGAAUGUGAGUGGUUUGCUUAGGCAUUGGUUCGAGUAGCUGCAUCUACACCUCUGGCAGGGCAGCACUGACAACUGGACUCCGGCAGAAGUCAGUAAGGGGAAACAGAAUGGGGGAGCGUUGGUCCUACCACAGACGCAACCUCACCCCAAAUGAUCCCAGCUGCUCUGGCGUGACCCUAAGCCAGGCUUCCUCAACCUCGGCCCUCCGGAUGCUUUUGGCCUACAAGUCCCAUGAUCCCUCGCUAGCAGGACCAGUGGUCAGGGAUGAUGGGAAUUGUAAUCUCAAAACAUCUGGAGGGCUGAGGUUGAGGAAGCCUGCCCUAACCCCUGGAAGGGGAUCGGACAAAAGCAUGGCGAGCCCCUGGAUUCCUUUAAUGGAAUUCCCUGUCACAUAUUGGGAGGGGCAGGUGUGACAACCUCCCCUCCCCUCUACCUUGAACCAAUGCCUAACCGCCAAACCUUACAAAGUUGUGACAAUUUGCUACGCGGCAGGCGAAACCGAAGUGGCACCAGCCAAGCUGCCAAAUGGGAAAAUUCCUACCGGGCCCCUGUCCCAAAAGCAGACGACCCACGACGGCACAGCAAGGUCAUAGCAAGACCCUAAAUAUAGGGAGGUUGGGUGGGUGAUCCGGCGCACGAAGCAAAAGAGAAAGCUCUACACAACGUGCAGUGGUAUAUAAAGGUCCCUUGGUUAAUACACAAAAUUCCCCAUUGGCCAGAUCUGGCCAGCAACCGAGGGACCACCAAUCAGGUUGUUGCGGCUAUCCAAUCGCUCCCACCCACACAGUGAGGCCAGUCCUGAUGAUCUCACUGCAACACGUGCUCUCCGUGAUGGGGACACGAUUUAUGGGAAUGAGAUGAUUUACAGUGGUACCUCGGGUUACAGACGCUUCAGGUUACAGACUCUGCUAACCCAGAAAUAGUACCUCGGGUUAAGAACUUUGCUUCAGGAUGAGAACAGAAAUUGUGCUCUGGUGGGGCGGAAGCAGCGGGAGGCCCCAUUAGCUAAAGUGGUGCUUCAGGUUAAGAAUAGUUUCAGGUUAAGAACAGACCUCCGGAACGAAUUAAGUACUUAACCCGAGGUACCACUGUAUUCAUUGGAAUGAGAUAAUUUAAUUCAAAUAUGUUAUUUACACAUGAUGUGGUAUGUCCUGAAAGAUGGCAUGGAAAUAUUUAUAAUAAAUUCUGAGUGAAGUGUGUUAUGCUUCUUUUUAUUUUUCUGGCACGCACUGCAAGGUUAAUUACUGACAUACACUGGUGAGGGUUGUACCUACUCAUUUUUUCUGUAACUAUUAUUUGCAUUUCCCUAGUAUUAAAACCCUGGUUCUGAUCAUAGUCACCUAAGUCUGCAGGGGAAAAUCUUUGGCUCCGAAAAGGGAAAUUUCAAUGCACGAGGGAGGAAAUUUUGACGGAGACAGUUCACACACAUGAACAUGACUAGAUCUCCCUUUCGAUUGCACAGAGUUGAGAGGGCUUGCUUAUAUCCUGCGGUUACUGUGGCGUAAUGCAAAAGCAGAAAGGUGCUUUCAAAAAGGAGAAGUUUUGUGCGAACAAACAUGGAUUGACAUCAUAGGAGGAACUGUCAGAGUCUUGGGAAAUAUAUUCUCCACUCAUCGCUUUUGUUCUCUUAGCAUCCCUUGUGUAUAAGUCCCACUUGUGCACUGUAAACCCAAAGCAGCAAUGCACAGCUUCCACUAAAACAGCAGAGAUUUCACGACUUGAAACUGUACCCUUUUCCUGGUUUUCUCUUCCAUACGGAUUUGAACAUGCCCAAACUACAUGUUACAGAAAACAGACUGGGUCUAUUUAGCUUAAUUUAGCUGCCAUUAAAAUUAAUGAGACAAAUUAAUCAUGGCUUAAAUCCCUUUGAAAUCAAUGGGAACUAAGCGGGAACUAAACUUAGUAUAGUAGGCUGCAUUUCUACAAUAUAUACUCCCCUGGGAUUAUGAGUGGGCACAUCUGCCCUUUCCAGUUUCUCAUUUUUCCACUCACAAUUUCAUUUUCCACAUUUCCAAAUGAGUUUGGAAUUUAAAACAAAAAAACCCCACAAGGUAUUCCUGAAAAUUCCUCAGUAUCUUAGUGCAAAUUUCUCCUAAUGAAUACAUUUAUAUGCAAUUUUGCCUAAUAUAGACAUUUUGACAAAGCAACUGCUUUACUCAUUUUAAUAAAGAUUUUUAAAGAUAUGAUUAGGAUCAGCUAAGGAGCAAGAUGGAAGAUUUCUCCCAAUGGUCUGUCCUAAAUCCAUCAUUUGUAGCAUAACCCUCCUGCAGUUGGCAGACAAAAAUGAAUCAUUUUGUUUGAGAGAAUAAACUCUGGGGACAUGAGAAAGAAGGCAGAGUAGCAGUGCCAGAUUUUCAAUUAUAUCUACAUGCUGAUUGGUUGAUUUUUUUUGAAAAGCCCUUGGAAACAUAGCAUGGACCAAUAGUUUAUGUAAUUUGAGAGAAAUGGAAGUGGAGGGAUUUCUAGGGAUUUGGCAAGCUGUGUGGGAUGCCCAAUCGCAACAGGGCAAACAAGAGAUGUAAAUAGUUACAGGUAGGUAGCCGUGUUGGUCUGCCAUAGUCGAAACAAAAUAAAAAUAAAAAUGAAUUUAAAAAUUCCUUCCAGUAGCACCUUAGAGACCAACUAAGUUAGCUAUUGGUAUGAGCUUUCGUGUGCACGCACACUUCGUAAAUGACAUGGAGGGUUUGGCAAAAUGAAUGGCGGGGCAGAGAGAACAGAACCAGGGAAAUUAGGAAUAGAAAAAGUUUGAAAUACAGAUAUUUAACUUUUCCCGAAAGGAGGAAAUGCAACAGAGCUCAUUCUCAGUGACUCACAGUGAGCCAGAAUUCCAUCAUGUAGACCAAAUAACAGAGUAACGGGGCUUUUCUCUCAAAAUUUACAGUUGGGGAUUUUACCAUGCCUCUGUUAAAAAAAUGAAAUAAAACCCUGCAGCUUGUUUUUAUUCCAGUGCAGUUGAUGAUACCGUAGUUUCCAUGGCUGGCUCUGGCAUGGUGGCUUGGUCAUGCUGUAAGAGCCAAGUAUCACAGAAAAGGUUACAUGUGCGAUUUGAUGUUAUGCACAGAAAUAUUUGUGUCUUAACAUUUAGCGCCAACAAAGGUCCGUAUAGUUAAAGCUAUGGUUUUCCCAGUAGUGAUGUAUGGAAGUGAGAGCUGGACCAUAAAGAAGGCUGAUCGCCGAAGAAUUGAUGCUUUUGAAUUUUGGUGCCGCCGGAGACAAUUGAGAGUCUCAUGGACUGCAAGAAGAUCAAACCCAUCCAUUCUGAAGGAAAUCAGCCCUGAGUGCUCACUGCAAGGACAGAUCCUGAAGCUGAGGCUCCAAUACUUUGGCCACCCCAUGAGAAGUGAAAACCCCCUGGAAAAAACCCUGAUGUUGGGAAAGAUGGAGGGCACAAGGAGAAGGGGAUGACAGAGGACGAGAUGGUUGGACAGUGUUCUUGAAGCUACAAACAUGAGUCUGACCAAACUGCAGGAAGCAGUGGAAGACAGGCGUGCCUGGCGUGCUCUGGUCCAGAGGGUCACGAAGAGUCGGACACGACUAAACGACUAAACAACAACAACAACAUUUAGCGCACCUGUAUCAGCAGGAUGUGGAACUAGCAGGUCCUAGUCUGGACAGAGUCAUACAAACACACCCUAUGUAUUUUUAAGGAUGAAAUACUACUCCUUUUGCUACUAUUCAAAACAUCUGAGACUUACACCCCAUGGAGGCCAGCUUUUGUAGUCAUUUCAUCCAAUGGGGCAUAAAUCCUAUCUAAACUGAAAUUGAAAAAGAACAAGUAAUUAAACAUGUUCAUUUAACUUUAGUUCACUGGCAUAUGACUCGUUUGUAAUGGGUUUAAAUAAUAAUAAUAAUGUUGCCACAGGAUAUAUUAAUCAACAGCAAUAUCCAAUGGUCUCUGUCUGAUAACAUUUGACCGAGGAAAUGUCCUUCCAGGAGAUAACACCAAAUCUGCUCUUUCUCUGCUGUUUUAAACAGGAAGUUAACCCAAGCAACAAGCAAGCUGUUUCUGGUGCCAUGAGCUGAAGUGAAAAAUGGA